rnacentral:rRNA from 1 species
GGAUUAGAUACCCUGGUAGUCCACGCUGUAAACGAUGGUCACUAGCUGUUCGGAUUUCGGUCUGAGUGGCUAAGCGAAAGUGAUAAGUGACCCACCUGGGGAGUACGUUCGCAAGAAUGAAACUCAAAGGAAUUGACGGGGGCUCACACAAGCGGUGGAGCAUGUUGCUUAAUUCGAAGCAACGCGAAGAACCUUACCAGGGUUUGACAUGUAUGGAUUAGCUCUUGGAAACAUGAGUCACGCGGCUUGCCGUGGAACAUACACAGGUGCUGCAUGACUGUCGUCAGCUCGUGCCG